AUUGAACGCUGGCGGCAGGCCUAACACAUGCAAGUCGAACGGAGUGGCGGACGGGUGAGUAAUGUCUGGGAAACUGCCUGAUGGAGGGGGAUAACUACUGGAAACGGGAGCUAAUACCGCAUACUAUCAGAUGAGCCUAGGUCGGAUUAGCUAGUUGGUGGGGUAACGGCCUACCAAGGCGACGAUCCGUAACUGGUCUGAGAGGAUGAUCAGGCACACUGGAACUGAGACACGGUCCAGACUCCUACGGGAGGCAGAAGUGGGGAAUAUUGGACAAUGGGCGAAAGCCUGAUGCAGCCAUGCCGCGUGUGUGAAGAAGGUCUUCGGAUUGUAAAGUACUUUAAGCUGGGAGGCGUUACUAACAGAAGAAGCACCGGCUAACUCCGUGCCAGCAGCCGCGGUAAUUC
rnacentral:rRNA from 1 species